rnacentral:rRNA from 1 species
GCCAAACAUCUAGCCUAUUUACCCGCAAUCCCCACACUAACUACCCACCUAGGCAUAAAACAUUUUAUAGUUUGAGUAAAGGCGAUUGAAAAAUAAUCAGAGCUUCAACUCCAGUACCGCAAGGGAAAGCUGAAAUAUAAGUGAAAUAAGCUCAAGCAUAAAAUAGUAAAGACUCUGACUUGUACCUUUUGCAUCAUGGUCUAGCAAGUCCAAAUCAAGCAUAACGAACCUCCAGUCUGAUUCCCCGAAACUAGGCGAGCUACUUCAAAACAGCCUUAAGGGCUAACCCGUCUCUGUUGCAAAAGAGUGGGAAGAUUUUCAAGUAGUAGUGACAAACCUAUCGAGCCUAGAGAUAGCUGGUUAUUCAAGAAAAGAAUUUUAGUUCUACCUUAAGCUCAACAUGACCACAAACAACCCGCUAAGCUUAAGAGCUAUUCAAAUAAGGCACAGCUUAUUUGAAAAAGGCUACAACCUAAACUUUAGGGUAAGUCCAACAACCUAACCAAGUCGGCCUAAAAGCAGCCACCUUUUAAAAAGCGUUACAGCUUAACUUCUACUACCACUAACCCCUCAACCCAUCACGAACCCCACACCAGUAUUGAAUGACUCCAUAACCUAUGGAAGCCACUAUGCUAGAACUAGUAACAAGAACCUGAAAUUCUCCAAAAUGUAACCAUAAGCUAAAAUGGACUGCCCAUUAGCACUUAACGACACUGAACCCACUAUAGCAACCCCACUAGAAAACUCUAUUACGAACCUCGUUAAUCUAACACAAGAACAUUACUGGAAAGAUUAAAAGGAAGAGAAGGAACUCGGCAAACUUCAACCCCGCCUGUUUACCAAAAACAUCGCCUCUUGCAAAGAUAUAAGAGGUCCAGCCUGCCCACUGAUUUAUUUAACGGCCGCGUGAUUUUAAACGCGCGAAGGUAGCAUAAUCACUUGUUCUCUAAAUAAGGACUCGUAUCAACGGCACCACGAGGGUUGUACUGUCUCCUCCCCCCAAUCAGUGAAAUUAAUCUCCCUGUGAAAAAGCAGGGAUAACGCUAUAAGACGAGAAGACCCCAUGGAGCUUAAAACCUACAACAACUUUCUCCCACACAAACCACAUAGCCUUAAGCCCUGUUCACUGGUUUUGGGUUGGGGCGACCGCGGAGUAAAACAAAACCUCCACAACAAAAGGCACCAGUCCUUAUCCAAGAAUAACAAUUCUAAGAAUCAACACCCUGAUGUCACGACCCGACAAUCGAUCAAUGAACCAAGUUACCCUGGGGAUAACAGCGCAAUCUACCCCAAGAGCCCCUAUCGACAGGUGGGUUUACGACCUCGAUGUUGGAUCAGGAUACCCCGGC